GUGUCCUGUAAACAGAUCAAAUUAAUAGAUCAACAAUUUACAUUUAUACGGAGCCUUUGAUGUAUAGAAAAGCCACAUGGAGCAAUAUCAAGAAACAAUGUUAAUCAAGAAGGCGUUAUGGCAAGUAACGAGAAGCUUGGUCAGAUAGGAAGAUUUUAAGUAAGAACCUAAUCAAGGAAACGUUGAGAGCUGAAGAACUAUAGGGAUGGAAAUUCCCAGAUCAGGGUUAGCUCAGCUGUCUGUGGUGGAAACAAUGACAUUCAGAGAGUCCCAGAGGAGAUCAGACCUGGAGAGACAUAGUGAUCUCAGGUUUGUAGCACAAAGGACCUUUCAGAAGGAGAAGCCAGUCUGUGGAGUAAUAACAACAAAGACAAGGAUUAUAAAACCAGUGUUGCUAGCUUAGGAACUGAACAGACACAGGGCAGGUGGGUGUGGGUUUUGCCAGGAUGAGAUCAAUUAAUUGAACUGAGAUUUGUACGUCCU